rfam:Gammaproteobacteria bacterium RIFCSPHIGHO2_12_FTLL_42_10 rifcsphigho2_12_scaffold_11932, whole genome shotgun sequence.
GCCGGGGUGGCGGAAUUGGUAGACGCGCCGGUCUCAAAAACCGGUGAAGGCGACUUCAUGCCGGUUCGAUUCCGGCCCUCGGCA